rnacentral:rRNA from 1 species
AAUUCGCCCUUAGAGUUUGAUCCUGGCUCAGAACGAACGCUGGCGGCAGGCUUAACACAUGCAAGUCGAACGUGAAGCUGGAGCUUGCUCCAGUGGAAAGUGGCAGACGGGUGAGUAACGCGUGGGAAUUUACCCAAUGGUUCGGAAUAACUUCGGGAAACCGGAGCUAAUACCGGAUACGCCCUCCGGGGGAAAGAUUUAUCGCCAUUGGAUGAGCCCGCGUCGGAUUAGCUUGUUGGUGAGGUAAAAGCUCACCAAGGCGACGAUCCGUAGCUGGUCUGAGAGGAUGAUCAGCCACACUGGGACUGAGACACGGCCCAGACUCCUACGGGAGGCAGCAGUGGGGAAUAUUGCACAAUGGGCGCAAGCCUGAUGCAGCCAUGCCGCGUGAGUGAUGAAGGCCUUAGGGUUGUAAAACUCUUUCACCGGUGAAGAUAAU